rnacentral:rRNA from 1 species
GACGAACGCUGGCGGCGUGCUUAACACAUGCAAGUCGAACGGAAAGGCCCUGCUUUUGUGGGGUGCUCGAGUGGCGAACGGGUGAGUAACACGUGAGUAACCUGCCCUUGACUUUGGGAUAACUUCAGGAAACUGGGGCUAAUACCGGAUAGGAGCUCCUGCUGCAUGGUGGGGGUUGGAAAGUUUCGGCGGUUGGGGAUGGACUCGCGGCUUAUCAGCUUGUUGGUGGGGUAGUGGCUUACCAAGGCUUUGACGGGUAGCCGGCCUGAGAGGGUGACCGGCCACAUAGGGACGGAGAUACGGCCCAGACUCCUACGGGAGGCAGGAGUGGGGAAUAUUGCACAAUGGGCGGAAGCCUGAUGCAGCAACGCCGCGUGCGGGAUGACGGCCUUCGGGUUGUAAGCCGCUUUCGCCUGUGACGAAGCGUGAGUGACUGUAAUGGGGAAAGAAGCACCGGCUAACUACGU